UACGGGGGGGGCAAGCGUUGUUCGGAAUUACUGGGCGUAAAGGGCUCGUAGGCGGCCAACUAAGUCAGACGUGAAAUCCCCAGGCUUAACCUGGGAACUGCGUCUGAUACUGGAUGGCUUGAAUUCGGGAGAGGGAUGCAGAAUUCCAGGUGUAGCGGUGAAAUGCGUAGAUAUCUGGAGGAAUACCGGUGGCGAAGGCGGCAUCCUGGACCGGCAUUGACGCUGAUGAGCGAAAGCUAGGGGAGCAAACGGG
rnacentral:rRNA from 1 species